rnacentral:rRNA from 1 species
UGAGGAAUAUUGGUCAAUGGUCGGGAGACUGAACCAGCCAAGCCGCGUGAGGGAUGAAGGUGCUAAGCAUUGUAAACCUCUUUUGUCAGGGAACAAAGGCAUCCACGAGUGGAUGUGUGAGUGUACCUGAAGAAAAGCAUCGGCUAACUCCGUGCCAGCAGCCGCGGUAAUACGGAGGAUGCGAGCGUUAUCCGGAUUUAUUGGGUUUAAAGGGUGCGUAGGCGGCCUGUUAAGUCAGCGGUAAAAGCCCGGGGCUCAACCCGCGAGCGUGAACAUGCUGGCUGGAGUUGGCGAGAGUAUGCGGAAUGCGACGGUGUAGCGGUGAAAUGCUUAGAUAUCGCGCAGAACUCCGAUUGCGAAGGCAGCAUGCCGGCGCCACACUGACGCUGAGGCACGAAAGCGUGGGGAUCAAACAGGAUUAGAUACC